rnacentral:rRNA from 1 species
UACGUAGGGUGCAAGCGUUUAAUCGGAAUUACUGGGCGUAAAGCGCACGUAGGCGGAUUGGAAAGUUGGGGGUGAAAUCCCGGGGCUCAACCCCGGAACUGCCUUCAAAACUCCCAGUCUGGAGGUCGAGAGAGGUGAGUGGAAUUCCGAGUGUAGAGGUGAAAUUCGUAGAUAUUCGGAGGAACACCAGUGGCGAAGGCGGCUCACUGGCGUCGAUACUGACGCUGAGGUGCGAAGCGUGGGGAGCAAACAGGGA